rnacentral:rRNA from 1 species
AACGAACGCUGGCGGCAUGCCUAACACAUGCAAGUCGAACGAGACCUUCGGGUCUAGUGGCGCACGGGUGCGUAACGCGUGGGAACCUGCCUUUAGGUUCGGAAUAACUCAGAGAAAUUUGAGCUAAUACCGGAUGAUGUCUUCGGACCAAAGAUUUAUCGCCUUUAGAUGGGCCCGCGUUGGAUUAGCUAGUUGGUGGGGUAAAGGCCUACCAAGGCGACGAUCCAUAGCUGGUCUGAGAGGAUGAUCAGCCACACUGGGACCGAGACACGGCCCAGACUCCUACGGGAGGCAGCAGUGGGGAAUAUUGGACAAUGGGCGAAAGCCUGAUCCAGCAAUGCCGCGUGAGUGAUGAAGGCCUUAGGGUUGUAAAGCUCUUUUACCCGAGAUGAUAAUGACAGUAUCGGGAGAAUAAGCUCCGGCUAACUCCGUG